UGAAAUUUUAGAUUGAGUUCAUAUAAAAAACUAAAAAAAUGCGAUCGUGUGUAUUCUGUAAAAAAAAAAGAUAGAAAAUCAAACGAUUUAUCUUUUUUUAAAUUUCCAGCAGAUGAGAAAGUUCUCCAGCUCUGGAUAAAAAAUAUGAACUACGAGCCAAAUUGGAAACCGUCAAAAUAUCAUCAUUUAUGUUCUCAACAUUUUUCAAGCCAGUGCUUAGAUUUUCGUGAUCAACUUUUUCGUUUGCGAAAAGGCAGUAUUCCAACGAUUUUUGAUGGACAUAAUGAGAACUUACAUCACAAUUAUCGUCAGAUAUUGGAAAGCAACAAUCUGAAUCGUCAGGAUUCUGAUCGUUUACAAAAAAACCAUACAGCCACAUUAAUCACAAUUCUGGAAGCUGAGGAUUCAGAAUCUUCAAUGUGUUUGUAGGAGGAACAAAAAUCACGAAAUCAAUUUGCCGUUUAAUAUU